rnacentral:tRNA from 1 species
CAGUAAAUAAUUUAAAUAUAAAAUACUAAUUUUGGAAAUUAGCAAUAACUAAUCUUUUUACUGA